rnacentral:rRNA from 1 species
UACGAAGGGGGCUAGCGUUGCUCGGAAUCACUGGGCGUAAAGAGCGCGCAGGCGGUAUGACAAGUCAGAUGUGAAAGAGGCCGGCUUAACCGGCAAGGGUCAUUUGAAACUGUCAGACUAGAGUGCAGCAGAGGAUAGUGGAAUUCCCGGUGUAGUGGUGAAAUGCGUAGAUAUCGGGAGGAACACCAGUGGCGAAGGCGACUAUCUGGGCUGCAACUGACGCUGAGGCGCGAAAGCUAGGGGAGCAAACAGG